AGUGGGGAACGCUCUGGCCAGCACCCUUGAGUGCGGCCCAGCCCCUUCGCCGGCGGGUUUACACGACAGCCCCCCCCCCCCCCACCGGGCUGCGCUUGAUCCCUCUCUCGGUUUCCCGGCGAGGCACAGAUGCGGGCGGCCGCCAGCCGGGGAUCCGCGCAGACUCAGCGACCGACCGCAGGUACAUUGCUUGGAAGAGAAAGCCUGCUAUCACCUCUGACUUCACUCAACAAUCUUGCAUUAGGAAGACGCGGGUCUGUGCUUGCUGCCUCCGGCGUUGUCCUGGAUACAGAGGCUCUGGCGUGAUCAUAGAGAAUGUUCUCCAGUGACUGGAACCACUGUUUCUAGAUAAAAGGUCAUAGCCUAUUUUUU
rnacentral:lncRNA from 1 species